AGCAACGUGGCUUAGUGGAAAGAGCACGGGCUUGGGAGUCAGAGGUCAUGGGUUCUAAUCCCAGCUCUGCUU
rnacentral:tRNA from 1 species